rnacentral:rRNA from 1 species
AACGAACGCUGGCGGCAUGCCUAACACAUGCGAGUCGAACGAGACCUUCGGGUCUAGUGGCGCACGGGUGCGUAACGCGUGGGAACCUGCCCUUAGGUUCGGAAUAACUCCCCGAAAGGGGUGCUAAUACCGGAUAAUGUCUUCGGACCAAAGAUUUAUCGCCUUUGGAUGGGCCCGCGUUGGAUUAGCUAGUUGGUAGGGUAAAAGCCUACCAAGGCGACGAUCCAUAGCUGGUCUGAGAGGAUGAUCAGCCACACUGGGACUGAGACACGGCCCAGACUCCUACGGGAGGCAGCAGUGGGGAAUAUUGGACAAUGGGCGAAAGCCUGAUCCAGCAAGGCCGCGUGAGUGAUGAAGGCCUUAGGGUUGUAAAGCUCUUUUACCCGGGAUGAUAAUGACAGUACCGGGAGAAUAAGCUCCGGCUAACUCCGU